GAUGAACGCUAGCUAGAGGCUUAACACAUGCAAGUCGAGGGACCGGCGCACGGGUGAGUAACGCGUAUCCAACCUGCCCAUAACUAAGGGAUAACCCAGCGAAAGUUGGACUAAUACCUUAUGGUUAUGGCUGGGGUUGCGUCUGCUUAGCUUGUUGGCGGGGUAACGGCCCACCAAGGCAACGAUCAGUAGGGGUUCUGCGAGGAAGGUCCUCAACAUUGGACAUGGGACACGGUCCAAACUCAUACAGGAGGCAGCAGUGAGGAAUAAUGGUCAAUGGACGGAAGUCUGAACCAGCCAAGUAGCGUGCAGGAUGACGGCCUAUGGGUUGUAAACUGCUUUUAUAUGGGGAUAGGUACCAUAUGAAUAAGGACCGGCUAAUUCCGUGCCAGCAGCCGCGGUAAUC
rnacentral:rRNA from 1 species